UCGAUGUCCUUUUUCUCGAGUUUCAGAGUCUGGUCGACGGUUCUGGUCAGACCCUUGAGGAAGAGCGCGGAGAUCCAUGGUGGGUCUUGCGUGAAGAGCCUCCUCCUUGAGGAAAGUUCGUUCCUUUCGAGGGGCUCUUCGAUAAAGGUGGCUCCUUUAGUGGUGGGGUGGUGAGUCUCGAAGGUGUCGAUGAGGUUUCCGUGGAAGUGGGAGGUGGGUUUGUCGGUGAUUGAGAGAGAGGUGGAAGAGGAGGAGGAAGCUGCUGAGAUUGGAAGGGUUUUGCGGCGGAAGAGGCCGGAGGAGGGAGGAGGUUUAAGCCAGGUGAUUGGGGAAGUUUGGUGAUGGAAGUGAGAGGUUUGGUUUAAGGAGAGAGAAGGAGAAGCCGCCGCAGAGGAAGGAGCCAUGGAAGGAAAGUGGAGGUAGAAGAUAAGGUCUAGUGAACAUUUGAAGAAGGAGAGAAAUUUUUGUGAGAAACAAUCCAACAAACCUCUCUAAAACCUCCACUCUUUUGUUUCUUUUGUUUUUAUAUUUUGUUUUUUAAUGAAAUAUCUCUCUUUUUAAAAAUAAUAAAAACAACAUGAACAAAUUCUUUAAAUAUCACAGGUUAUAUAUAUUUUCCUACGACACUAUCAAAUAGUUUUUGAUCAAAAGAAAAAAACUAUCAAAUAGUAUAUAUAUGUUUUGCUGUUAAGCAUGCUCUUAAAUAAUGAUGUUUAAUUGAUGAUAUAUCUAGAGUAUUUGUUAGAACAUGUUCUUGGCAUAGAGCACUUCUACAUUCUUUCUCUUGAUUUCUGGAUAAUUGUAUUUAUUUUUAUCAAGAGAGUUUGUGUGAGAGCACACCAUUACUCAUGCUUUAACUUUUUACUAAAUUUCUUUGAAUUAAAAAUUAUUAAAAAUGCCUAAUUUAAAAGUUACAAAUUUAUACCAUAGUUCGAAACUUACUUAUCUACAAACUAUAGUUUUAAUUGGUUUAUUGUUAACCAAAGUUUUGUUUAUCAGUUUAACCAAACAUAAACUUAACUUUAAUCAAAACUCAUGUUGUUUAUCCGUCUAUUUCUUUCUUCUUUAGAGAUGUCAUAGCAAGAUGUAAUCUAUAAGACCAUGAUUAACUUCAAUCUCUUAAGCUUCGGUUAAGAGAUGGUUCUUAUCUUUUCUUACAUUUUAUUUAAGAAAAGCUAAGAACCGUCUUUUAAAUAAGAGAUAUAAGAGCCGUCUUUUAGCCGAAAAAUGUAAAAAACAAACAAAAAAUAUCAAAUCAUGAGUUAAGAACUCCGACUAACAGACCGGGGUUAAUCAUGCCCAGUUACGUCAGCAAGUCGAAUCCGUACAUAUAUAUAUAUACCACAACUUGCUGCAGAUUGACACUUAUUUGGCAUUUCUUAAACUAAGAGUUUUAACAAAAUAAAAAAAUUGAGUAAUAUAAAAAAUAUAUGUUUAUAUAUAUUUUUUAUUCUAUAUAAAAACUUUGAACCGGUUAAAAUAUAAAUGAAGAAAACUAUAAAAAAAACAAGAAUGUACAAAACACAUAAAAAAAUCACCAAUAUAUAUGUACCACAGCUAAGAGAUAGUAAGGAAAUUGAAGAAAAACAAUUAAUCAAAAAAUAUUUUGCACCAACUGUCCAAGGAAUAAUUCUAGCAUAUGACAUAAAAACCCUUUCUCAAAAGAAAAAAAACACACACACACACAUAAAUACUACAUUUCAUAUUUCCAGUCUCCACGACCCAAAUAAAGCUUUGUAUUUUUUUAGCCACUUAAGAAUAUAAUUUUUAAAAAGAAACAAAUCUUCUAAGCAACUUUUUAGUGCAUUUGUUUUUACUUACUUUGUAUCAUGUUUAUGGAAGAUCCUUAAUUUAUUUUUUUAAAGAUCUUUAGCUUUUGUUUCUCAAUUCUUUGUAUAUUGAUUAUUCACAAUUUUGUUAAUUACUGAACAUAAAUAAAUAAUUUAAUUGAAAAAGAGUACUAUAGAAAAGGAAGUUUUAAUUUUACCACAAAUUUGAUACCAUUGUUGAUUUUAAAAAAACAAUUAUUUUCAUGAAUACCCUAAAUGUGUGAUAAGAGAUUAAACUAACUCUUUUUCUUUUGUCAGCGAGAUUAAACUAACUAUUUUGAAUCAUUUAUAAAUGUUCAAUAAUCAUUUAUAAAAGUGUAAACCCAAUCCUUUCCCUUCAGUAUUUAAACACUAAACAAUAAACAAUAAACAUUAAACCUUAAAUCCAAAUGUUAAGAUAUGUUUGAUCGAAUGUAUUGUUCAAAAGUGGUAUCCAACUUAUGGGUGUUUCAAAAAGGUUCUCAAUAUUUAUUUUAUUAUAGUUGAGUAUCUAUAUUAGAUUUAUCAAAAAAUAAAAUAAAUAUUUAUACUAUUUAAAAUAAUAUUAUUUGUGGAAAAAAUAUAAUUGUAGUUUUACAAGUAAUAGUAUAAAAGUUGUAUUUCUAACAACUAUAUUUAACUCAUAAAGUUAUAGAACCCUAAAUAACAACUUCACAUUUUUGUAAAAUUAAAUAUUUUUAUAUCAAAAAUUUUGAUUUGAAAAUUCAUGCCAAUCUCAACACUAAAUUUAUAUUUUUUUAAUAAAAAGAAGAUUACAUCAUUUUAUUUUUAAUGAAUAUUGGCUCAAAAGUUUUUUGACUCAGUCAUUUUUCUUCAGUUUUCUUGUUACUUUGAAAUUACACCGAGCCGCGGUGCAUGUACAUCCAUUCUUGGAUGUCCUAUACCAGGACUGUUCCCCGGAUCAGUUGGCGCAAAAUCUUUCGUUGAUUCAUCAUUUUUCUUCAAUCCCCUUGCUACUUUGAAGUAAUCAUUGUGUCGUGGUGCAUGUACAUCCAUUUUCGGAUGUCCUAUACCAGGACUGUUGCCUGGAUCUGUAGGCCCAAAAUCCUUAAUAUUUAUCAAUAUUUUUUCUUGAACAUUUACAAUACCUUUCUUAUGUCCAUCAAGACUGUGUUCAGCUGGUACCGUAGACAAAAAUUUAUUCAAAUAUGUGACUUUGAAAUGAUUUUGAUUGUCUGCUAUCUCUAACAGUCUUGCUUCAGUAUUCUACGGUACUUGGAAAGAUACUAUCGAGAUGGCCAUAAUGGUCAUCAAGGAGACAUUGAAGAGUUUCAUAGUCUUUUCACCCUGAAUCAGAUACAAGGCUAAAGGUUUUGAUAUGAGUAGUUUUCGUGAUAUUUGGAGUAAAGUUGUACAAAUGAGAUUGUAUUUAUACUGUCUAGACACUAGCCACAUUGAUUGAGUUUGGACAUUCCUUUUCUCUUGGUCAAAUACAUUGAUAUUCGAUCAAACACAUUGAUAUUUUCUGGUAAAAGAUCUUGAUUUUUAUUUUUGUUUUGAUUUUGUCCCACUACACUCAGAUUUCUUAUUCUUUUUUGGACAUUCUUCCUUUUGAUAUUAGAUCUAAAAAUAACUAAAUAUAAAUUCAGGUAUAUUCAAAUAUUGAAUGUUUUGGUUUGAAUCAAAUUUGAAUCUAGUUAUUUUAUAUCAAAUUUCAAAUCCAUUCAGAUCUUUUAUCAAUUUUGGUUUGUGUUUAAUAUAUAUUUUUUGGAUUAGAUUUGGUUCUUUGGGUUCAUGUAUGUUAUCUUCAGGUAUGUUGUCCAUCUCUAACACAAAGCAAAAGACUCCUUUAUUCAACAUCUGAUAAUGUUACUGUCCAGAACAAGUAAAAGGCAAUCCAAAACACAACAAUACAUCUUACACAUAUACAUACAAUUAUGAAUGUCAGUAAUGUUAAAUAUAUAUAAUAAAAUAUUAAAAGUUCAUAAGUACGUCAAUUUACAUGUUGUUGAGUUUUGUCCAAACUAAAAUCUCUCGCUUUGAAACCAUAUAUAACUACUUCACACACCUUACUUAAAACUACUACCCCCAUACCUCAUGCUCUAUUGCUAUGCCGAUACUAAAACAGCAGCUUGAACAACUUGGAUACACCCAUCCUCAUGUCCGGACAUAACCAAACCCAUCAUCUUAUGCAUCACAAUAACCGCCAUUUUAUCAGCAGGCAAAAGCUCAAUGUGGGGAGCGUAAGCCGCUCUAACCUUCUUGCUCUUGUUCUUCUGCAGCCUCUGCUCUCUCUCGAUCACAUCUUUCAGCGGCUGGAACCAACCCAGGAACAUGUGUUUCACGUAAGGUAGAUUGGGAGCGAGACUCUUCUCGCACAUCUCCUUCUCCAACUCUCUGUACUCGUCGACCAUCCUCUCCCAGGCCUCAGUCUCUUCCUUCACCUGCCGUCUCCUCAAAGAAUCGAACUUUCUCUUGUCGAUGUCUUUUUUCUCGAGUUUCAGAGUCUGGUCGACGGUUCUGGUCAGACCCUUUGUUAGUGCAAGAUGACACAACAAUAUAGUAGUACAGAAGAUAAAUCAAGAGACAAAAUAGAUACAAGCAACCAACUAUUGCUUUAUUAGAAAUCACCUAAACAAUCUAUUACAAGACUUGUUUAUCAGCUUUUACACGUCAGUGUUAACACCCUAACACACGUUACUGACAGAUUCCUAAUCUACCCAAACAUGUCUCUUUCUCGUCAGUACUUCAGCAUCUGCUUCAGCACGACCCAAGAACACUCCUAAGGGAUUUUCACCCUUCCUCUAUAAUAAUAGCCAGUGUCUUAUGGAAUACAGACGACUCCAUAGCUCUUUUAUAGUGAUCUCCACGUUCCUGAAACCCUAGUCUCCAAGGAACAUGAAUAUGGACAACUUCCGUAUCAAUAAGUACACUUUCCUUUUCUUGAAAUGUACUUAUUCCUCAACGCAUAAACUUGCUCUCCAAGUUUAUCUCUUGCCUUUUUCUCCAUGGUAUAAACUUGCUUCUCAAGUUUAUCCCACGCCAGCUCAGCAUCUUGCGUCCACAUGGUCUCUACCACUCCGCAUGCCUCCUGGUUCACUCUCUGACACACACUGCCUCAGCAACUACUUCAACGACUACGUCAAGACAUAAACCCUCAGUUUAUCCUUCUCCAUCUCAGCAUAUCUUGCAUCCACAUGGUAACCCACCACUCUGCAUGCCUUAUGUAGUAACGACUAAUGCAUCCAGCAUCAGUGACUUCGUCGCCUAGUUAGUCACGGAAGACUAUUGACAUCUACAAGCUCCACUUGCAUCUUCACCCUUGAGGAAGAGCGCGGAGAUCCAUGGUGGGUCUUGCGUGAAGAGCCUCCUCCUUGAGGAAAGUUCGUUCCUUUCGAGGGGCUCUUCGAUAAAGGUGGCUCCUUUAGUGGUGGGGUGGUGACUCUCGAAGGUGUCGAUGAGGUUUCCGUGGAAGUGGGAGGUGGGUUUGUCGGUGAUUGAGAGAGAGGUGGAAGAGGAGGAGGAAGCUGCUGAGAUUGGAAGGGUUUUGCGGCGGAAGAGGCCGGAGGAGGGAGGAGGUUUAAGCCAGGUGAUUAGGGAAGUUUGGUGAUGGAAGUGUGGGGUUUGGUUUAAGGAGAGAGAAGGAGAAGCCGCCGCAGGGGAAGGAUCCAUGGAAGGAAAGUGGAGGUAGAAGAUAAGGUCUAGUGAACAUUUGAAGAAGGAGAGAAUUUUUUGUGAGAAACAAUCAAACAAACCUCUCUAAAACCUCCACUCUUUUGUUUCUUUUGUUUUUAUAUUUUGUUUUUAAUGAAAUAUCUAUCUUUUUAAAAAUAAUAAAAACAACAUGAACAAAUUCUUUAAAUAUCACAGGUUAUAUAUAUUUUCCUACGAAACUACUCCCUCCGUUUUUUUAUAUAACUCCUUUUAGAGGAAUUUUUAUGUUCCAAAUUAUAUGACGUUUUCGGUUUUCUAUGUAAAAUUUAUUAACACUUAAUGUUAUAUGACCAAUGAUAAUAUACUUUCUAUUUUAUUAUUGGUUGAUUUGUGGUUAGGUAAAUAAUUAAUGAUGUUUUUGUUUAGAAAAUAUAAAAAAUUAAUGAUUUCUUAAUCUACGUGCAUAAUUCUAAAACGACUUAUAUAAAAAACGGAGGGAGUAUGAAAUAGUUUUUGAUCAAAAGAAAAAAAACUAUCAAAUUGUAUAUAUGUUUUGCUGUUAAGCAUGCUCUUAAAUAAUGAUGUUUAAUUGAUUAUUUUUUAAAGAAUAAACCAUUAAAAUGAUGAUAUAUCUAGAGUAUUUGUUUGAACAUGUUCUUGGCAUAGAGCACUUCUACAUUCUUUCUCUUGAUUUCUGGAUAAUUGUAUUUAUUUUUAUCAAGAGAGUUUGUGUGAGAGCACACCAUCACUCAUGCUUUAACUUUUUACUAAAUUUCUUUGAAUUAAAAAUUAUUAAAAAUGCCUAAUUUAAAAGUUACAAAUUUAUACCAUAGUUCGAAACUUACUUAUCUACAAACUAUAGUUUUAAUUGGUUUAUUGUUAACCAAAGUUUGUUUAUCAGUUUAACCAAACAUAAACUUAACUUUAAUCAAAACUCAUGUUGUUUAUCCGUCUAUUUCUUUCUUCUUUAGAGAUGUCAUAGCAAGAUGUAAUCUAUAAGACCAUGAUUAACUUCAGUCUCUUAAGCUUCGGUUAAGAGAUGGUUCUUAUCUAUUUUUACAUUUUAACUAAGAAAAACUAAGAACCGUCUUUUAAAUAAGAGAUAUAAGAGCCGUCUUUUAGCCGAAAAGUGUAAAAAAAACAAACAAAAAAUAUCAAAUCAUGAGUUAAGAACCCCGACUAAUAGACCGGGGUUAAUCAUGCCCAGUUACGUCCAAUUUAGUACCAAGUCGAAUCCGUACAUAUAUAUAUACCACAACUUGCUGCGGAUUGACACUUAUUUGGCAUUUGUUAAACUAAGGGGGGGGGUUAUUGGAAUCAGAAUUUGGAAAGAGUUGAGUGAUUUUAGAAUUUGACAGAUUUUUAAAAGUUUAGUAGAUUUCACAAAUGUUUCCUAAUUUCUAUCAAAUAUUUUGUAUUGAUUUCUAUAGAUUAUUGUUGAUUAUUAAGAAUUUGCACAAUAUAGUUUUUCAAAAAGUUUUUUCUUCUAAUGUACAAAAAAAGUUGUAGAAAUUUCCAACAAUGAAUUUCGAUGAGGCACUAUUAUAUUAUCGUUUGGUGUGUUUACAUAGACAAAUUCAUUUUAUGGUAUUAGUUAUUUAUGUUAUGCAUGGUUUGUUCUUAGUUUUGUUGUGAAAAUAUUCAUUUUUUAUCUUCAUACUACAUGACAUAAUUUUAACAGUCUUAUUUUCAUUGACAUUUUUUUUGAGACACUACUCAUGCAAACGAAAAAUUAGAACACACCAAAUACGAAACUUACCGAGGUCGCUGCAGGGGAAGGAGCCAUGGAAGGAGAAGCCGCCGCAGGGGAAGGAGCCAUGGAAGGAAAGUGGAGGUAGAAGAUAAGGUCUAGUGAACAUUUGAAGAAGGAG
rnacentral:lncRNA from 1 species